rnacentral:lncRNA from 1 species
GGAGAACGUUCUCUGUGUCUGGUACAUAACCAACUGAAGACAGCUUUUCACCUAGUUCCUCCAAUUUCAGAUGGAUUUCCUUGAUUUUUGGAUGCGAACCAUCAUGAGAGACAAAAGUGUGAACUUUUCCAUCAACUUCAACCCAGCUACAACCAGGCUCCUUUUUAAUACCCUGGCCGGACAUUAAUGUCCUGACUUUUCUAACAUCGUCCCACCUACCUUUAUUUGCAUAGAUAUUUGACAACAAUAUAUAAGUCGAAUCCAUCUCAGGUUCAAGCUCAAAAAGCUUUCCUGCAGCUGUUUCACCAAAAUCCACAUUUCCAUACUUCUUACAAGCACCAAGAACAGUCUCCCAAAUAAUGGCAUAUGGUGUCAGUUUCAUUGUCUCAAUGAAGCUUUCAACCUCAUCAAAUUUCCCAGCACUACCAAGAAUAUCAACCAUACAGGCAUAAUGCUCAAUGGUAGGAGUGAUCUGGAAAACUUUGCUAAGUAAGUUAAAGUGCUUUUUCCCUAUCUUUUACAUUGAUAACAAAAGGCUAGGCGAACAUACUGUAGAUGAAAAAGUUAAUGAAUACAUAAGUACGGCAUUUUUAACUGCUGCUAAUACAAUGAUAUCAGUGGAGAAAUAAAACGGAAAGGGGAAAACAGUGAGAGUGAAGAGGAGAGUUCACUCUCUGAUGAGGACUCAGAAUGAGAAAAGUAUGAGAAGAUGAGAAUCUGAUGAGGACACAGAAGGACAAGAGCACUAUAAUCUCAGGGAUGCUGUCUGGAUACUGUGCUCAUGGUCUAAGAACUUAUAUGAACGGCUAACAACUUGGUAUUAAAAGUUUGUGUCUAACAUUUCUUCUUGUUAUGAGGCAUGUACCAUUUGCUUAUUGUUUGAAAGAAGCUUGUCAACAAUUUGUUAAACAAAAGGGAAGAGCAAUUGAAUUAUCUGCUCCAAAAGUAGCAGAAUACCCUUUUACUAUCGCUGUUCUUUUGCUUUGUGUAAUUGAGUAAUUUCAUUUUCCCUACAAAAAAAAAAAAAGUAGUGAUUUCAUUUUGUUGGUUACGAUAUGCGACUCAAAAGUCUUAGUCCUAGUCUUAUGCAUUUCUCUUCCGCAUUUUAAAAGCUGCCAAUAUGCAGAUACAGAGAACACAAAAAUAAAUGUGUAGCAUCGACAGAUUUCACUUGCAAUUCAUGAGUCGAUUACAAUACAUCUGUAUGAAUUACACUUGAAGCAAUUCCGAAAGUACAUUCGUUCGUGUUCCUGUUAUGCAACAGUAGCACUGUGUACUUCCCUUUCGGUAGUAAAUCAGUUAUGACAUAUUUACUAAUGCUCUGUAUAAUAUUGAUCUCUUUCUCCAGAAUGGCUUCUUAACCUUGAGCAUCAAAGCUUCUUAGUGUUUGGAGAUAGCAUAUAACCACAGUUUGUACAGUUGUUGCAUUUGGUUCUUCUUUUACAAAGUGGAAGAGCAAAUAAAUUAUCCGCUCCAAAAGUAUAUUAUCUUCUUUUACAAGUCCUAGUCCUAUUCAUUUCUCUUCCGCAUUGCAUUUAAGAGCUGCAUCAAAAUUGGAAGCUGACAUCUUAGAAGAGUUUCUUAGAAAUAAUGCAGCCAAUUCACAUACAGAGAACACAAACAGUAAACAAAUGUGUUGCAUCGAUUGAUUUCACUUGUAAUUCAUUUGACUCGAUUACUACACAUUUGUAAGAUAAAUUACACUUAAAGCAAUACCAAAUGUACAUUCGUUCCCGUUAUGCAACUACUUACAAACAAUAAUAGACACCAAAACAACAAUCAAGCGAAGUCUCAAGUUUUCUCACUCAAAUAACAAAUAAGGCCUCAACACCGAACAUCAACCAUGAAAAACUUGUAUUUAGUUGUGUGUAAUCGUAUGGGGCUCAAUACCUCUCUGAAUCAUCAUAUCAAUCACUUUCAUGACCAUCAUAUUGUGUGUGAUCGUAUCUGACUCAAUACAAUUCUGAAUCAUAUCAAUCACCUUUUCGGCUUUCACGACCAUCUCCUCCUUACGAAGUGGAUCGAUCAACCACCAAAUUGAAAGUGACAACAUCCGGAAGGAAACCGUAAGUGACAACAUUUAGAGCUAUACACCUACCGAUGAGAGCUAUGCAGGAUUGGUGUCCUCAGAUGCUAUUGCUGUCUAACAAGGACGGAGAAAUUCCCCUUCACAACGCUGCGAGGAAUGCAUCAACAAGUUGAAAAUCUCGUCAUAGGGGUGGUCAGCAACAAGUUGAAGAUAUGUUGAAAACUAAAAAUGGACAGGGAGACCCAGCCCUGCAUCUUGCAGCGCGCUUCGAUCAGUGGGUGGUGGACUCCUAUCUUCUUCGCAGCUGAGAGGGGACAUCUCCUGUCACUUCAUGCCAGAGUUCUCUAGUUCCUUGAAUUACCGGAUCAUACGCCACAAGUUUGACUUCUUGACUUUUUCUGAGCAUAAUAUGAGAGAAACAAUGCAUCAAUCUUAGCCUUCAUAAAAGUAUUGGAGAAGGUUGUUCUCUUUAAAUCUAUGGGAGGGGCAAACUGCUGCAAGGGCUUUGAACCUCUCAUAAUAAGCACAAAAUGUUUAAUCAGGUCCUUGCUGAAUUUUGAUGAUCUGCUUCCUCAUUACCGUGAUAAACCGCUAGCUUACUGCUAGCCGGCUGCACCAUUGUCAUACCACUGACUUAUGAGGUUAACAAGGAUGACCAAAGACACGGCUGUGUUUGUUGCUUUGAAAGGGAUAUGGACAAGCUUGACAAUAUUAUCGAAUAAAUAUUUGUUUAUGCAAAGAGAUGACUGCCGAAAAGAAUUGACACAGUGGCUAGUCCAGAUCUGAUUGAAACUCACUUUCGGUAGAUGGGUUUCUCUCGAACGAAACAAAGCUAUGAAAUAGUUGAGGGGAAGACCAGAACAGAGCACACCUCUUGUGCCGCGCCUGAGGAUCAUCCUCGUCGGAUGAUGAGGUUUGAUAAGAUUGGAGAGGGAGGCGGAGUUCUCAACUUCUCGUCUAGGUCUCGGCUUAAAUAAGACAUCUUCCCCGUCUUUUUCUGUUUGCUGUUUGGGCCUUUGGGCCAGUUUUGGUGGUGUAGGUUUUAUGUUUGUCUUGAGUGCAUGAGUUCAAGCGCAAAGGUUCGGUUUGUUUAGCCCAGUUAUCGACUUGUUUCAGCUUGAAAAAUAUUGUAUACACGAUUUGUAAUUACACUGGCUUUUUGUUCUUCUUUUACUCGAUUAGCAGAAACUACUGAUGUUCUUUUGCUAACCGUGAUUGACUAAUUCACACUUUACAACCAUUAGCAACUCCAAAGUCUUAAUCAUAUUCCUAAUAUGUGAUACAUGCUAUUUUUUUUUUCUUUGGACAAGUUUGCAGUAUCCUAAAGGUUAUGUAAGCCCAAAAGAUUAAUCUCUUGGCAUUGCAGUCUCUCCUGACCAGUGCCGGGGUUUGAACUUAGAUUAGGGAGCACCUGCUUCCUAAACUAGGCAAGAACCACUCUGACUAUCUUGCGGUGGUUGGUCCAUGCAUCUCUUCAAAAUUGGAAGAUGACAAUCAGACUCUCAUCGAAGACAAGAGAUGCAAUCCAUAUUCCAAGGACAGUUCCAUUGAGGGGAUGAAUACUAAAACAUCAUCUUUCGUCCAGUAAAAUAGACGGUCCUAGCUUCAGACCCGGGUUGUUCCAAAGCGGCAGUCCGGCACAUCCUUUAUGAACCAAACACCCCUACUGAAGUGGCUGCUGCUCGGUCACCACCUGACUCACAAACCCAAACCUGGACCUGGACAACCAACCGAACCCACUUAUCAGCCUCCAUAAUAGACAUUUUACAUGCUCUUUCGUUAGAUCUUAAAUUGGAAAAUUAUAUCUAUGAAUCGGUCAUGUGCACAUCCGCAUGCUAGACUCGAACUAACAUGCAAGUUACAGCCUACCUUUUUAAGUCACUGUAUCUCUUAUCCAACUUUGAAGUCACGUCAUGAGCCUCAGUGUUGAGGAUUUCAUCCCCAACAAAAAUGUGCGAGGCACACUUCAGCACCUUCAACCUUCAGUUAUGUCAUUUGCUCACUCCUGCAAGACAGAGAAGAUAGUAACAUGUCCCCUCUGCAGAAAAAGAAAACUUUGAUACAAGAUUGAAAGAAGAAAAGGAAAGGAAAAUAAAGCAAUUCCAGCAUUUCAUAUACCAAUGAGCUGCCGAGAGAAAUUUCCGAACAUUUGACAUCUGCCUUUCUUCGAGCAACUGAAGAAGCAGCACCAAAGUUAAUACAGCAGAUAACACAUUUGAAAAUCAGGAAGAAUGACAGCCAACAGAUUUGAUAAAACAUGCAGCUCAGUUCAAAGUAGUUUAAGAUGGGACAUACUUUUAUGCAUGCUUUAACUGUAUCUGAAACUUCAGCACUCUCACAAACCUCCUGUUGUUCAUAGUUCAUUACGAGGAACAGCGUUUAGAAGUCAAUAUAGCUUAACCCCGCUAUCUGGAAUUCUGGACUCAGAGCUUCAAGUACCAGCAUCACCAGGAGUCUUGACAGGAGCAAGUGCCAUUCUUAAAAUCAUGAAACCGCUUGAUGUCACGAACAAUUAUCUCCCUAUUUGUGAUGUCUGAGAUGAGCUUCAUAACAUCAUGGCAGUCCCCACAUAUGCGUAGAUUUUUGAAAAUAUGAAUAGUUUUUACAGGAUCGGUGCUUAGGAGGGCAUACGCAAGAGCCAACCUUUCACUGUGAUAUUGGAGAUGUUCCUUUUUUUCUCGCUCGGUGAUAUCGUGGAGAACGUUCUCUGUGUCUGGUACAUAACCAACUGAAGUCAGCUUUUCACCUAGUUCCUCCAAUUUCAGAUGGAUUUCCUUGAUUUUUGGAUGCGAACCAUCAUGAGAGACAAAAGUGUGAACUUUUCCAUCAACUUCAACCCAGCUACAACCAGGCUCCUUUUUAAUACCCUGGCUGGACAUUAAUGUCCUGACUUUUCUAACAUCGUCCCACCUACCUUUAUUUGCAUAGAUAUUUGACAGCAAUAUAUAAGUCGAACCCAUCUCAGGUUCAAGCUCAAAAAGCUUUCCUGCAGCUGUUUCACCAAAAUCCACAUUUCCAUACUUCUUACAAGCUCCA